AACGAACGCUGGCGGCAGGCCUAACACAUGCAAGUCGAGCGAGACCUUCGGGUAUAGCGGCGGACGGGUGAGUAACGCGUGGGAACGUGCCCUUUUCUGCGGAAUAGCCUCGGGAAACUGAGCGUAAUACCGCAUACGCCCUUUGGGGGAAAGAUUUAUCGGAAAAGGAUCGGCCCGCGUUGGAUUAGGUAGUUGGUGGGGUAAUGGCCUACCAAGCCUACGAUCCAUAGCUGGUUUGAGAGGAUGAUCAGCCACACUGGGACUGAGACACGGCCCAGACUCCUACGGGAGGCAGCAGUGGGGAAUCUUAGACAAUGGGGGCAACCCUGAUCUAGCCAUGCCGCGUGAGUGAUGAAGGCCUUAGGGUUGUAAAGCUCUUUCAGCUGGGAAGAUAAUGACGGUACCAGCAGAAGAAGCCCCGGCUAACUCCGUG
rnacentral:rRNA from 1 species